AGUGAACGCUGGCGGCAGGCCUAACACAUGCAAGUCGAACGGCAGCACAGUAAGAGCUUGUUCUUACGGGUGGCGAGUGGCGGACGGGUGAGGAAUAUAUCGGAAUCUACUUUUUCGUGGGGGAUAACGCAGGGAAACUUACGCCAAUACCGCAUACGACCUACGGGUGAAAGCAGGGGACCUUCGGACCUUGCGCGAUUGAAUGAGCCGAUGUCGGAUUAGCUAGUUGGCGGGGUAAAGGCCCACCAAGGCGACGAUCCGUAGCUGGUCUGAGAGGAUGAUCAGCCACACUGGAACUGAGACACGGUCCAGACUCCUACGGGAGGCAGCAGUGGGGAAUAUUGGACAAUGGGCGCAAGCCUGAUCCAGCCAUGCCGCGUGGGUGAAGAAGGCCUUCGGGUUGUAAAGCCCUUUUGUUGGGGAAGAAAAGCAGCAGGUUAAUACCCCGCUGUUCUGACGGUACCCAAAGAAUAAGCACCGGCUAACUUCGUG
rnacentral:rRNA from 1 species